UGGGGCGUCGUCAAGUGGUAAGACACAAGACUUUGGAUCUUGUAUCCCAGGUUCGAAUCCUGGCGCCCCAGCCA
rnacentral:tRNA from 1 species